GGACUACCGGGGUAUCUAAUCCUGUUUGCUACCCUAGCUUUCGCGCCUCAGCGUCAGUAUGGGACCAGAGAGCCGCCUUCGCCACAGGUGUUCCUCCUGAUAUCUACGCAUUUCACCGCUACACCAGGAAUUCCGCCCUCCUCUACCCAACUCAAGUCGGACAGUUUCAAAUGCAAUUACCGGGUUGAGCCCGGUGAUUUCACAUCUGACUUAUCCAACCGCCUACGCGCCCUUUACGCCCAGUAAUUCCGGACAACGUUUGACACCUCUGUAUUACCGCGGCUGCUGGCAC
rnacentral:rRNA from 1 species